ACGAUAAUGCUCAUUAAAUGCUAACAGCAUAAUAGGUACUGCGAUCCGCCUUUCAUGUUCAAGACUUUAAUCUUCAUAACACUCUACGAGCCACUAUUAUCAUGAUUGUUAUUAUGAUUUCUGUUUUCUGUUUUAGAUGAGGAAACUGGGUCUGGGAGAGCUUCGGGAGUUUUUCCCAAGGUCAUGGGGCCAGAAAGCAAUAGUAGAGGACCCAAACGCAGAGUCCACUGCAUGACACGGAGGAUGAGAACAAGAAUGGAAGGAGAAGUCACAGUUGGGGAUGAGGACUGUGCUUUGGGGUGGGGGCAGGGAAGGCAACUUGAAGCACUUUGCAGGAUGUUGGCCUCGCAAGAUGAGAGGAACUGAGCUGGCAACAAGCCGAGCGAGGCUAUUUCCAGGCAAGAAGACAGAAGAAAACACUGCACGUCUGGGAGAAGGCUUCAUUUACCCGCUGAAGAAAGCGGCGUGUUUGUCCGCUUCGCCGCUCAGAGGUGGAUGGGAGCAAUAUGGCAGAGGGUCUUGAAUGCUAGGGGGAUGUGGUAAGGUCUUCCUGGAUCUAAUCAGCAAUCUGUAAAAGCUAACAAGGCACCGAUGAGGCCAAGGUUAUAUGUGAAUCUCCAGCAUUCACAAGGGAACCCAAGUGCAAGGUGUUUACGGUUUAGUACAAAGUAAUCGAUUCCCAGGGCCAAAAAAAGCAAUGGGAAGCAAUGGGAAGUGAUUUGGAGAAUUGGUAUGUGAAGGGAACCAAAGAGUGAACACCAAAGGCCGUAAAGUGGUUGAGACCAACGAUCUUUAUGGAAUCAAUGGAAUUAAAUCUAGUUCCGUAUGGCUGCUAGUUCUUUCAAUUAUUGAGUGCCUACCGUGUGGCCAGCACCAUUCCCAGGACUUGGGAUAGAUCAGUGAACAAAAUACAGUGACCAAACUCCCUGCCAUCAAGGAGCUCACCACCUUGUGUGCUUAGUGCUGAUUCCCGAUCAGGAAGAUUCUUAACUCUCAAAACCUAAGAUUCCACUUUCAUACUGUACUCUUCAGAUCCCAUCACCCCAAAGAGAAAUGCAAAUCUCUCUAGCGUGAAGCUGGGCAGCGAUGCAGAAAGACAGACACAGCACUUCUGACUCAAGAGCGAGGGCGAUCUUACCGCCGGGUGGUUACAAGGAAACUUAAGAUGGGCAGGGCGUCAAGACUUGCCUCUGAGCUGGAUCAUAAAACCAAAAGCAAAACCAAGGUGAAGGAUUGGCCGUGUGACCCUUGAAGACGAUUCAAGUUAGCCUGGGGUACCCUCUCUGCUUUCCACUCCCCAACUGGGAUUAACUUUGGAAUCUUCCAUAACUGUAGAGAAACUGGGGGCUCUCCAAUCCUAGCCUGGGUAAACACUACUUCAAGACAAAUCGGAAUGGCCUUGCACUGUAAAACCAGGAAAGGCAGAUGGGAAAUAAGUCCACUCGUUUAGGUAGGAGAUAUUCUACAAUAUAGCCUUGUUCUUAGAACACAGCAGAAUGAGAGGUCUGGGAUUUUCCUCAGAAUUGCUAAAAGCAAUCUACAGAUGAAGAGAAACUGUUAAACGAUAAGCUGAUGGUCAUUGUCUCUCCCCCCUCCAAAAAAAAGAAAGAAAGGAAAAAAAAGACACCUCAAGGUCAUUCCCCUGCUCCCCAGAAAACUCUCCCCGCAGAAUUAAAAUUCCUGAAACUCAAACCAUGCGAUCUGACCAGACGCCCCGAAGACGGUUCGUGGGAGACGAGGCUCAAGCGUUUGGCUCGAGGUGAGAUGUGGAAUCUUCUCUGGAUCUCAGGUACUGUUCUAGUUUACUAUGUUCUCCACUUCCCAGUGGAGGAAAACAAGUUCUGGGAACAAAAUGCCUGCAGUGUUUUCAUCGGUGCAGCCAGGAAUGCGGAGGUGGGGAGGCCUCCAAAGCCCCCGCCUUCUGUCCCCACCCCGUGGAUUUUCUGAGCCUCUCCUGCCCAUGCAGCAGGGAGGAGGGAGAGCGCUCUGCUCAAUAAAUACUUACACGAUGACAUCUGCAACCUUGCCAGGUGAAGGUCAAAAUAUUUUCUUGCACUAAGUGUCUGUAUUGUAUUACUUCCCUAAGUGCUACUAUCGAUUUUAUUGAUUGAAUCAUUCAGAAUAACUAAUGGAGUAAGAAGGGCUUGGGUUUUUUCAUGCCCCAAACCUACGUUUGUUAUAGAGAAUUCUAUAUUAUGUUAUGGAAGAAUUCUAAUAUUAGGAACACACAGACCUUCUUGAUCGCAUCUUCUGCAAGCAGCUACGUGUAUUUCCAAACUGAUGAGGAGUUUCCGCACGCAUUUACCGAUUUACUCAUUUAUCCAACAGAUUUAAUGAGCCACCAGCCCGAAGACUGAAAGGGGACUUGGAGCUGUGGCCCUCUGGGGCCUGCCUCCCUCCCCGCUGUGCCCUUCUUUGUUCUGCCCUGUCUCUCUCGGAGCUGACCCUUGAGGCUGUGUCUCCCGGGCUCCCAGCACCGCUGGCUUCUUGCUACCCUGGAGCACAGGGAGGCAGGAGAUUGGAGAGGGGGGAGAAGGGAAAAGCCAGCCUCAGGUGGCAUUUCUAAUAGGCUGCAUAUACCCCUUCUGCCCUGUGACCCAGAACUAGCAGUCCUGCGGCCUCCCUUCGACGGAGCAGCCUCGGAGACGGCGACUUCCUGCUGACGUGAAUCUCUGGGUGACCCCUGUUUGGCUCAGUUACCUAUAUAACCCCGCAUUUCAUGCUUGAAAAUAGCUUUUGUCUUCCUGGUUAGACCCUGAAUGAUACAGAGAUGAUCUAGUUUACUGGAACUGAGGCCCAGAGGAGAUGUGACUGCCUUAAGUCACACAGUUAAAAAAAUGGUCAGAAGUGUCUACCGUGUGUGAGGCACUGUGUUGGCCUCCUUGUAGAAGACGGACGUGGUAAAUUCCUAGGCCCUUGCUAGGAGCUUCUCAUCCAAUAAGAGAAAUGGCCUAUCUAUACCAACAGCUAUAAUGCAGGACGGUGGGUGCAAAAGCUGAAGCAGGCCCAGGAAAUACGCAGUAGGACUUUGGCAGGAAAGUUGGUAUAUGCCUGGGGUUGGGGAGGGGGCUGAUCAUUCCAGGCAGGAGGGACAGCCACAAGGUGAGCCGCUGGGAGAGUUGUGGGCUCAAAGGUAGAGCCACCGCUUUAUUUAUCAUUUAAACAGGACAGUUUAGAGAAUGAAAAGGGACACUAUUGAUUCACCGUGACCACAGGCAGAAACCAGGGCCAUCCCAGGGAAACUGAGGCCGACUCAGGUAAAUCAGGAGGUACGGUCACCCACCGGGAGUUGAGCAGGGGCCUGGAUCAUGGGACACUUUCCACCGCAGACUGAGGAGUCUGGACCUCAGGCCCCAAAUGGGACUCCCUGGGAAUCAGAUCAAAGCGGCCAUUUAGGGAGGAAGGGAAGCCAUUCGGUAAGGUGCUCCCCACAAGUGCACGGUGUACCAGAGUGAGAAUGGAGGGACCCCACUCUCCAUACGUGACAUGGCCUGUGGCCCCCGCUUGAGCAGGGACACCUCAUUCUCCCAUACGUCCUGUUGGACCUACAACAAUAUUAAGUCCCAGAGAAAUUGACGGCACAGGACCUGUUUCCUUCCCCAGGGGAAAUGCCAAUUUUGCAGAGGGAGAAGAAGACUUUCGGGUGUCAAACAGGGAGCGGUAUGCAGUUUGCAAACUCUAGCGUCACCGAAUCCCCAAAGGCACAAUCGAGGCAGGGAGUGCUUGUGGUGCUAGGAGGGGAGAGGUCAGGGUGGCCCCGGAUCGUCAGACCUCAUGCCAGGACCGUGGAACUUGAGCACAGGGGGAAGGAUUACAUUUUGGCUGGUGGGAAAGGGGGGAGGGCAUUCCUGGCAAAUGUACCAGAGCUGGACCGAGCAGGUCCUGCGUAAGGGACAGGAAAGAAAGGGCCCUGAAGGACAGGAGCAGUGGGCCGAGAGGCUCAGAGUUCCGCUCAACAGCAUGGCCCUACUUUUCUCCUUCACCCAAUUCUGGGCCGGUGAGAGAGGAGAUUGCAAGGCCAGUAUGACACAGGGGUUAAGGGACAGACUUCGCCGCAAGACGGCCUGGGUCCACACGCUGCCCAUUCACCGUGUGACGUUGACAAGCUCCCGAAGGACAAUACCUGUACCUACACCAGAGGCUGACAUGAGGACGACGGCAGGCAGGGAGAAUGCACGAAAUCAGACCCGAGAAAUUCUCUCUCAAAAGCAUCCUGGGAGACCUGCGGUCAGGGAAGAAGCCAUCACCAUGUGACUAUGUCUCUUUGUCUGCCACUCUGCCGGAGGCUUGGUGCUUGCUAGGUCCCGCUCUGUCAUUUGGGCCAUCUCACCAUGCCUCUGCAGCUCUCCCAUCGCCUGGGACCUGGGCAUGAGCAGGUGGAGCCCCUGGCAGCCGGGAGGAAAUUAUCUUACAAUUUUACUAUUAUUUCCUGGCUUCGCAAUCCUCUUAAACAGCGUGGCCUCUAGAGUUAACAGCUGGCCGACCACCAAGAAGCCACAGUAAUUCAAAUCGCGUCCUCCCCGUUCGCAUGGCUGCCCAUGGAAUGGUUCUGCAAGGAAGGAUACAGUUUUCUCGACCCUGGGAGGGUCCCUGGAUGGGUCUGAAAAUUAAACUGACAAGGACGGAUUCACAUCUGCCUUUCAUUUUUGAGGUAUACUCCAGCACACACGUUAGUAGAUUCGGUUAUUAGAGGACAGCUGUGGUACAGAGAAAGGCAUACACUGAAUUUUUGCGUGGAUGGAGGAGCCUUCCCAAGAGAAUGAAGACCCAAAGAAGUGACGAGAGCAGGAGCCUUUUAUACCUUUUAGACAAAGAACCAGUAAGUUUGUGAAGAAUCGAUAAGACAAAAGGGUUUGGGCUCGAGGUAGCAAGUGGUGAAGAAGUAACUAGGAAGACUCUUUCUCGACCAACAACGCAUGUGUUUUAGAUGUUUGGCAAGGAGCUUGGUUUUCCCUGGGUGAUCGUGUACAGGAAGAGGGUGAUGACCUCCAGGAACCAAAGUCUUUGGCUCAGACAACAAGCA